rnacentral:rRNA from 1 species
UGGGGAAUAUUGGACAAUUGGGGCAACCCUGAUCCAGCAAUGCCGCGUGAGUGAAGAAGGCCUUCGGGUUGUAAAGCUCUUUUGUCAGGGAAGAAACGGUUUUGGCUAAUAUCCAGAACUAAUGACGGUACCUGAAGAAUAAGCACCGGCUAACUACGUGCCAGCAGCCGCGGUAAUACGUAGGGUGCAAGCGUUAAUCGGAAUUACUGGGCGUAAAGCGUGCGCAGGCGGUUGUGUAAGACAGAUGUGAAAUCCCCGGGCUCAACCUGGGAAUUGCAUUUGUGACUGCACGGCUAGAGUGUGUCAGAGGGGGGUAGAAUUCCACGUGUAGCAGUGAAAUGCGUAGAUAUGUGGAGGAAUACCGAUGGCGAAGGCAGCCCCCUGGGAUAACACUGACGCUCAUGCACGAAAGCGUGGGGAGCAAACA